rnacentral:rRNA from 1 species
UACGUAGGUGGCGAGCGUUGUCCGGAUUUACUGGGCGUAAAGGGCGUGCAGGCGGUUUGUUAAGUGCAGGGUGAAAGCUCCCGGCUCAACUGGGAGAGGUUCUUGCAUACUGGCGAACUCGAGGGAGGCAGAGGAAAGUGGAAUUCCCGGUGUAGUGGUGAUAUGCGUAGAUAUCGGGAGGAACACCUGUGGCGAAGGCGGCUUUCUGGGCCUUACCUGACGUUGAGACGCGAAAGCGUGGGGAGCGAACCGG